rfam:Gossypium hirsutum cultivar TM-1 chromosome 20, whole genome shotgun sequence
UACUAAAAAUUCCAUCUAUUUGUAUCGUAAAAAACUAACGUGGCUGAUAGAGUAACCACAUAUAUGCCGUGCCACAUGUACUUCAUCCUGACAUACAAUGACUAAUUUUUAACAGUAGAAAUGUAUGAAGUUUUUUAUUA